ensembl:miRNA MIR412 microRNA 412
GGGAAGGACGCCAGCAUCAGCACCAUUCUGGGGUACAGGGAUGGAUGGUCGACCAGUUGGAAAGUAAUUGUUUCUAAUGUACUUCACCUGGUCCACUAGCCGUCCGUAUCCGCUGCAGCCUG